GCCGCGGCUGGCGGAUGGUGUCCUCGGAGCCGGGACCCUUGUUCCCGGUCGGCAGGUUCGGCAUGCCGAAGUUCGGCGCGUUCUGCGGCG
rnacentral:tRNA from 1 species